rnacentral:rRNA from 1 species
AUUGAACGCUGGCGGCAGGCCUAACACAUGCAAGUCGAACGAGUGGCGGACGGGUGAGUAAUGUCUGGGAAACUGCCUGAUGGAGGGGGAUAACUACUGGAAACGGUAGCUAAUACCGCAUACCAUCGGAUGUGCCCAGAUGGGAUUAGCUAGUAGGUGGGGUAAAGGCUCACCUAGGCGGCGAUCCCUAGCUGGUCUGAGAGGAUGACCAGCAACGGUGGAAAUGAGACACGGUCCAGAAUCCUACGGGAGGCAGCAGUGGUGAAUAUUGCACAAUGGGCGCAAGCCUGAUGCAGCCAUGCCGCGUGUAUGAAGAAGGCCUUCGGGUUGUAAAGUACUUUCCGCGUGGAGGCGGUACCCGCCGAAGAAGCACCGGCUAACUCCGUGCCAGCAGCCGCGGUAAUAC